AGACCCUGAGGAGUUCGAAGCAGCGCAAAUGAAUGAGGAUGCAAAUAGUGCAGAUAUAUGCUACUUGGAGCCUGUUCAAGAUGAAAAUACUGAGCAGAAUUCCACUCAGGAGGAGGACAUGGCAGACAGAGACAGAAACGUUGAUGCAGACCAUGAGGAGUCCGAGUCUGAUGAGGAUGUAGAUGGCGAG